rnacentral:misc_RNA from 1 species
UUUGCGCCCCAGCUUGAGUGGAACUCUUUUUGCGAAACGCAGUGCAGCAAAAAAGUGGGAACGGAAGAUGGAUGAAGGC